UGAAAAUAGAAGAAAUAAGGAAAGAAAAACAGCUGACACGGUGCUGGGCACAUAGCAAGUUUAGCAAGUAUCUAUGUGAACCCUCAAAGGCCUUGUAAAUUUGUGCUCAGGAUUCCAUCUUGAAAUAACUUCAAAAAUUGAUGAUUCUCAUUUAAAAAGUGACUACAAUAAGAAAUGAAACUACUUCACAGGUGGCUUUUCACAGAAAGAGGUUGGAG
rnacentral:lncRNA from 1 species